rnacentral:tRNA from 1 species
GCGGAGGUGGCGGAACUGGCAGACGCGUACGUUUGAGGGGCGUAUGGAGUAAUCCGUGGGGGUUCAAUUCCCCCCCUCCGCACCA